GCGGGGAAUCUUAGACAAUGGGGGCAACCCUGAUCUAGCCAUGCCGCGUGAGUGAUGAAGGCCUUAGGGUUGUAAAGCUCUUUCAGCGGGGAAGAUAAUGACGGUACCCACAGAAGAAGCCCCGGCUAACUCCGUGCCAGCAGCCGCGGUAAUACGGAGGGGGCUAGCGUUGUUCGGAAUUACUGGGCGUAAAGCGCACGUAGGCGGAUCGGAGAGGUGGGGGUGAAAUCCCAGGGCUCAACCCUGGAACUGCUUUCAAAACGAUCGGUCUGGAGUCCGAGAGAGGUGAGUGGAAUUCCGAGUGUAGAGGUGAAAUUCGUAGAGAUUCGGAGGAACACCAGUGGCGAAGGCGGCUCACUGGCUCGGUACUGACGCUGAGGUGCGAAAGCGUGGGGAGCAAACAGGAUUAGAAACCCGCGUAGUCC
rnacentral:rRNA from 1 species